UGGGGAAUAUUGCACAAUGGAGGGAACUCUGAUGCAGCGACGCCGCGUGAACGAAGAAGGCUUUCGAGUCGUAAAGUUCUUUUAUAUGGGAAGAUAAUGACGGUACCAUAAGAAAAAGCCCCGGCUAACUACGUGCCAGCAGCCGCGGUAAUACGUAGGGCGCGAGCGUUGUCCGGAAUUAUUGGGCGUAAAGGGCUUGUAGGUGGCUGGUUGCGUCUGUCGUGAAAGCUCAUGGCUUAACUGUGGGUUUGCGGUGGGUACGGGCUGGCUUGAGUGCAGUAGGGGAGGCUGGAAUUCCUGGUGUAGCGGUGGAAUGCGCAGAUAUCAGGAGGAAUACCGGUGGCGAAGGCGGGUCUCUGGGCUGUUACUGACGCUGAGGAGCGAAAGCGUGGGGAGCGAACAGG
rnacentral:rRNA from 1 species